AGCUGGAGUAGCCAGGCUCGCGCUUCCGGGGCUGACAACGCAAGCCGCUAUUUAACUGACAAACCAGUCAACCAAUCAGAGGAAGGAAAACAACGGGCUAGUGCGUGCACUUGUGACUUCUAUUAAGGCUAAUGGGAGUAAGGUGUGUGCCUAAAGGUUAGAAGAAACUUCUAAAGUUAGGAAUAUUGUUUACAUUUGGGGGACGUCCACCAGACAGUAUGCAAUCAGUCUGGAUGGGACAUUUGGGAGAACAAUAGGACUCUGAAGAUGCUAGUCUCCCACCUUCCUGAGAAGUUUCCUGGAAUGCUGUAAUGAUGUCACAUGGUGCUGGAUUACAUCUUGGACUUCAGUAAGGAUAAAGAUGCCUCAUCUCCAUCUUGUCUUCAGUCCUGCUUCAUACCUCUGGAAGGACUUUGCUACAAACGGAAGCUCUACACAAAGGACUGAUGACCCAUCCCAGCUGUAGAUGCACUCCAGAAACUUGAUUUGAACCUGCAGUUUAUUUCAUCACUGCUGCAAGCCUGAACCAGGAACUUUGCCAUUACUGUGUGUACUUGAUUCCGUUUAACCAAUUCUAGCUCUUAUCUAUAUUUUUUCCUUUUACAAAUAAACCUUUAGAUUUUAGAUUCUAAAAGAUUGGCAACAGCGUGAUUUGUGGGUAAGAUCUGUUUUGUGGUUUUUUGUUUUUUUCCCCCCCCUCUUUUAAAUAUUGACCUGGGUCUGGGGCUUGGCCCUCUGGGAUCAAGAGAAGCUCUUUUCUUUUACUGGGGUAUUGGUUUUCAUAACCAUUUGUCCCCAUAAAGAGUGGCACUGGUGGUGAUGCUGGGAAACUGGAGUGUCUAAGGGAAUUGCUUUUGUGACUUAUGGUUAGCCAGUGGGGUAAAACCAAAGUCUUCUCUAUUUGGCUGGCUUGGUUUGCCUUGGUGUGCGUAGAAACCCCAGCCUUGGGCUGUAACUGUCCUGCUUUAAGCAAUUUAUCCUGAAUUGGCACUCUCAGUUGGGUCCUGCCAGAACCAGCAUCAUUACACAGUCCAAUAAGCCUGACUUCAGUACCAGGGAAAUUGGUUUAAAUUAUAGUAAAGAACAGAAUUGUCA